UACAGAGGGUGCAAGCGUUAAUCGGAAUUACUGGGCGUAAAGCGUGCGUAGACGGUUAUGUAAGUCAGGUGUGAAAGCCCCGGGCUCAACCUGGGAAUUGCAUUUGAGACUGCAUAGCUAGGGUGCGGAAGAGGGAAGCGGAAUUUCCGGUGUAGCGGCGAAAUGCGUAGAUAUCGGAAGGAACACCAGUGGCGAAAGCGGCUCCCUGGUCCAGCACCGACGUUCAGGCACGAAAGCGUGGGGAGCAAACAGG
rnacentral:rRNA from 1 species